CAAGAGAAAGCGCUUUGGCUCCUCCUUUUAUAUGUUUUUUCCUCCACCUGGGCCUGCCCUAUGCAAAUUGGGCUUAGCCAGGAGUGCUGUUUAUUCUGUUUGUUCUGCGAUUAAUAUUUCAUAAAACACACUAGAUGAAGUAAGUAAAAUUACUUUGUUUAAAAAAAGCAAAGGAAAACAGACUUGUGUAGAUGACAAUGAAGAGUGUUACCUGAGGGCCAGGAGUGAGUCGGGAUGAGUGGGCAGGGCCAGUGAGCAGUGUCUGAGAUUCAGUGCCCAGAUCCACGCCCCUGGCGGGCAGGCUUCUCCUCGGCACUGACUACCCCAGAAGCAGACAGUUAAGAACCAUCUCUGGAAGCCGUGAGAUGGGAAAACCAAAGCAGGCCUGUUUGCAUUCCGCUCACCUCGGUGUUGGAGCUCCUGAUGACUGAAGUUCCACUUGAGGUUGUGUGUGCCACACGCUGCUUCUCUUCUGCUCCUGAUCCUACUCUCACAGCCAGAUGGUUAAGUCUUCGUCUUCCAGAUUUGGCGUCCAGAUGAUGGAGCUCUAGUCACCCCCUCCCCACUUCAGACCAAUAAUACCCAGUGUGAAAGCACUCUUUGCUCUUCAUUAGUAACAGGACAAGUUGGUCAGCAUCUUUAUCAUCCACCUUGCUUACUCCAGGCUCUCUUAGACAAAGACUUGGCUUUGAAUCAUCACUUUCUUGAAACCUUGACAAGUCAGCAAAAAAAUUUCCAGAGCCGUCUCCUUCCUAUUUGAUUUAUCCUUCAUGAGGCUGUUUCUUUCCAAGCCUAAUCAGGGCAUCGAAUGCCUUAAUGGUAGACACUCUUGCUGUCAUGCAUCCUUCACCAGAGGAUCAUCCCCCUCUCAACUCUCCAAAUACUGUGUCAUCAGUUAAUAGCCUCGAAGAUUGUGGUGACUCCUUGGAAUAAAGGCUCCAGAAAAGGUGUAGGAAAGCGUGAGGACCACAGUUAUGACUUGUAACUGAAAGCUCCGGAAGGGUGCCUGCAAGCCUUGAGGGAAAGGUUCUGCACCAUCAUAUAUGGUUUGAACACUGGGAAACCAGCCGUGCACUCUGAGCGUCAGAGGAAGAUCCACCAGCCGAGGUUAGAUAUAGCUCUGGAGUAGAUUCACCAGCCGAGGUUAGAGACAGCCCUGGAGUAGAUCCACCAGCCGAGGUUAGACACAGCCGUGGAGUAGAUCCACCAGCUGAGGUUAGACAUAGCCCUGGAGUAGAUCCACCAGCCGAGGUUAGACACAGCCAUGGAGGAGAUAUGCCAGCUGAGGUUAGAGACAGCCCUGGGGGAGAUAUGCCAGCCGAGGUUAGAGAUGGCCCUGGAGUAGACACACCAGCUAAGGUUAGAUCCACCAGCUGAGGUCAGAGACAGCCCUGGAAUAGAUACACCAGCCGGGGUUUUGGUUUACGUCACCCUCGAAGUCUCCAGCUGAAAGCAGGGUCAGCUUACCUGUGGAAGCGUUAGACCUAACGCCUCUUUCUUACCUUCUGAAAUAAAUGUACAAGAUGGCAUUUGUUUGGAGUAGGAAAUGGCAACCCACUCCAGUAUUCUUGCCUGGAGAAUCCCAUAGAGGAGUCUGGCAGGCUACAGUCUAUGGGGUCUCAAAGAGUUGGAUGCAACUGAGCAUACAUAUGCUGUGACAUUUGUUUUAAAAAAAAAAAAAAAGCUGAGUUUCAUCAAGAUGGGAGGCUGGCUCCAUGAUACAGCCGCCUUUGGCAGUUUCUGGGGUUUGCUGCUGCAGCCCGCCCACCCGGCCUUCAAAGCACCAGGCUCACAUGCUGCUUAAAUCUCGCAGGCCUUCCAGGGUAGCUUAAAAACCAAAGUCUGUCACCAGAUCCUCACUCCACGUCGCUUUUCUAACUCUCCCUCUGUGCCAGAGCAGGCUCAGCGGCAUCAUGCUGAGUGGUUUGCGUCCAACUCGACCACUUACUGACUGUGAGACCCUAACUUUGGUUUCUUCAUAUGUUAAGAGGGAUUAGUGUUACCAGCAUACACACACAGUGGAACAGACUGUUCAGCCACAAAGAGGAAUGGAUACUGACCCACGCUCCAACACAGAUGGACCUCAGAAACAUUAUGCCAAGUGAGAAGCUGACACAAAAGGUCACAUACUGUGUGAUUGCAGUCAUAAACACAUCCAUACAGAACUCAGAUUGGUGUGGUCACCAGAGCCUACAGCGAGGGAGGGAUGGGGAGAAACUGGUUAGUGGGUACGGACUCUCCUUUCGGGGUGAUGAAAUGUUCUAGAACCAGAUAGAGCUGCUGGUUGUACGACACUGAAUGUGCUGCUGCUGCUAAGUCGCUUCAGUCGUGUCCGACUCUGUGCGACCCCAGAGACGGCAGCCCACCAGGCUCCCCCGUCCCUGGGAUUCUACUAAAUGCCAUUAAAUUGUUCAGAGUUUUUGUAUCUUUGUAUUUUACAUAAAAAGAAAAGUUAAAUAUCAUUAA